ACCAAUAAUUAUACAAUGUUGGAACUGUCUGAAAGUCAAGUAUAUAUAAAUAAAUCAUCUUAUUUUUUCAAAAUGACAAGGCCAGUUAUCUUCCACUGGCCUACUAAUCUUUGGGGAUAUUCUUGAUUCUACGAGUUUUUAAAAAAGCCAGAGGAAAGUAAAACUAAAAUCAACCAAAAGCAACAUAAUCAUCUUAAACUUGGGGAGUUGUACUGAGCAUAAGCAUAGCCAUGGCCAUGACCCUGUGUAUGAGGGACAUUGCUCUACGGAGGGGUUCAUGCCUAGGAAUCCCCCUUUUGAGUCUUGGUCCCUUGCAGCAGUUAAUCAGACAUCUUGAGAUACUCUGAAAUAAAUGAAUGCUCACUGAAUAUGGCUCUUUCUUAAGAUCCUUUAAAUCUUUAUUCCUAAAACCCAUAUAGUGUUAAGAAUUCAAGUUCCUAGUAGCCUAAAUGUAGUUCCUACAUUUUAAAAAAACUGACAUUUUCAUUUUAC
rnacentral:lncRNA from 1 species